rnacentral:rRNA from 1 species
ACUAACAAGGAUUCCCCUAGUAACGGCGAGUGAAGCGGGAAAAGCUCAAAUUUGUAAUCUGGCGCCUUCGGCGUCCGAGUUGUAAUCUCGAGAAGUAUUUUCCGCGCUGGACCGCACAUAAGUCUGUUGGAAUACAGCGUCAUAGUGGUGAGAACCCCGUAUAUGGUGCGGAUGCCCAGUGCUUUGUGAUAUACUUUCGAAGAGUCGAGUUGUUUGGGAAUGCAGCUCAAAUUGGGUGGUAAAUUCCAUCUAAAGCUAAAUAUUGGCGAGAGACCGAUAGCGAACAAGUACCGUGAGGGAAAGAUGAAAAGCACUUUGGAAAGAGAGUUAACAGUACGUGAAAUUGUUGGAAGGGAAACGCUUGAAGUCAGACUUGCAUUUUGGAGUUCAGCCGCAAGGUGUAUUCUUCGAUUCGCAGGCCAGCAUCAGUUUUCGGGGGUGGAAAAUCGCGGUUUGAAGGUAGCAGUCUCGGCUGUGUUAUAGCUUUCCGCUGGAUUCACUUUUGGGGACUGAGGAACGCAGUACGCUUUUUGCAAGAUUCUAGAGUCUUUCGUACUUAGGAUGCUGGUGGAAUGGCUUUAAACGACCCGUCUUGAAACACGGACCA